rnacentral:miRNA from 1 species
CCUUGUCAUUCUCUCGCCCGGU